AUCAGGGGUCACAGGGGCGGGGCCUUCAUGUGUCAGCUCUGGGUGCUGGGGCCGGCACCGGAAGCCCGCCCACCGGAUGUGCGUCAUCACUGAGCGGGGCCUUCGGAGCGUCUAGGUCUCAGACUGGAAAUGCGUCUACCUGGGAGUCCCUGAGCUACCUUACUGCAGGCUACAUUCAAAGAAUCCCCAGAGACUCUCAAGCCACAAAAUGAAGACAGUGACCUUUGAGGAUCUAGUUGUGAACUUCACCCCAGCAGAAUGGGACAUAAUGAAUCCAUCCCAAAGGAAGCUCUACAGAGGUAUGAUGUGGAAAAGAUUUAGGAAUAUUAGUGCUAUAGAAAGAACUUGAGAUAACCAGCAAAUUGAAGAAGAGGGCAAAAAUUGCUCAGAAAUCUAAGAUAUAUGCAGUGAAUUAGUUGAAAUUUGAAGAGAAGCAGUGUAAAAGUAAUGAACAUGGGAAACCCUGAAAUGAUUUGCAGUCCCUUUAGAAACAUGAAAUGAGGAAGACUGGAGAGAAACCCUAUCAACAGGAACAGUGAGGAAGGCAACUCUGAGCUUAGUGAAUGAACUCACACUGGGCACAAAACCUUUGUAGGUAAAAAAAAGUGUGUGUGAAAGACUUCACAACAUGUAGUGGUCAAAUCCACACAGUUUAGGGAAUUCAUAUGUACACAAACACUUUGAGUUUUAUUUCUUCAUACCAUAUUGAAAAAUAUGAUAGAAGACUUGCCACUUGUGACUAAGAAAUGUGUAAAAGCAUUAGCUCUUAGUAAUUCCUUUCAAAAACAACAACAACAAAAUUCACACUGAGGAGACUGUAUGUGAGCUUUGCAGGAAAGCAUUCAGUACAUAGUGUCAAAGUCAUGAAAAGAUUCACACUGGGGAGAAACCCUACGUGUACCAGAAAUGUAGUGAAGCAUUCAGUCCAGAGACAUGUUACAAAAUUCAUGAUAAAACUCAUUGUGGGCAAACUAUAUGUAUGUAAGCAGUGUGGGAAAGCAUUCAGCAGACGCAGUCACUGUCAACGUCAUAAAAAACUCACACUGGGGAGAAACCUUGUGGAUGUGAACAAUGUAGGAAAUCUUCCCAGCUCUGGUUUUCUCAAAAAUGAGUUCAUACUGGGAUGUAACCCUAUGCAUUUUAACAAUAGGGAAAAAGCUUUCAGUGCAUAAAAAUGCAAUAAAAUAUUGGAAAGAGUACAUACAAGGGUAAAAACCUAUGUAUGGACACAGUGGGAAAUUAGCUGCCCACCUAUCAGCAACUGCAGCAGUCUUUUUUAAAAAACAUCAUCAGGAGUGUGGCAAUGGGUUAACACUGCAGCCACAUACUUUCAAGUCAGAAUAACAUUUCCACUCAGAUUAAUGAAUUCAACCCUAAAUUUACCAGGCUCCUCAGAAAAACCACCAAACCUUUCUUUACACUGAGCCAUGUUUAUCGUUGAGAGAGGGAUGUAUACUGGUAAUGCUUCCAUCCCAAUCUGACACUUCCUGUAGUGAAAAAAGAUUUCCUAGGGUAAAGUGGGGUGCUAGCUUUUUUACUCAUUUCAAUCUUGAUGGGAUUGAUGGGGCAGGUGAUGAUAAGGACAGAGGCAAGAGGCCUCUGCCUUGAGUGAGGAGGAUGAACCUGUAGGAUUUAGAAACUGUAGCCACACAAAUAUAUUUGUAGAGAUCUGGACGUAAGGGAUAUCUCACCACUUCCCUUUUACAGUACAGAUCUAGCAGGAGAGUGAUAUAAUUCAGAUACUCAUUCUUUGACUAGUAUUCUCAGUUUGCCAAUUUGUACUGAGGUUAAACUGUUAGAAAAAUUCAACCUCCCUACUGUGUACUGAGGCCUAUCUGCUGCAGCACAGCCCUGUGAAAAUAAAGACUUGUUUUGGUGUUCCUAUAAACCUGCUUGUGAUUUACUUCUUGGCUCCAAAAGAUGUGUGCAUUUACUUGGGAUUUUUAUCAUGAGUAGUGUGGACAGAGUAGUCAUUUCCAAAGAAAGACUAAUAAACACUCAGAGCUGCUAAUACCAGCACCAAAGAGCUCCAUAGACCAACGCCAAAUGAAGGCAAAGAAGUGAGGACAAGCACCUAGUUUUGGAAACUUGAUUCGUAAUGGGUUUGUCCCCCUAAUUUAAGGAGUUUAAUCCUCAAAAGUGUAUGUUAAUGGUAUUAACUGGAAUGGUAUUAAGUGGAUUGAAACUUAAUCCAAUUUAAGUAUUUAAGGGUGAGGCCCUAGAACAUGAUUAGGAUUGAAUGAGGUUGGCUAAGGUCAUUAGAGUAUAACCGUCAUGAUUGAAUUCUGGUAGCUUUAUAAGAAGAAAGACAGGCUGAGAUAUAGUUCAGUGGUAGAGCAUUUGCUUACUAUGUGUGAGGCCCUGGAUUCAAUCUCCAGCACCAAAAAAUAAAUAAUAAAGAACAGAGACCUAAUAUAUAAACACAUGUAUCCCUGCCUCUUGCCCCGUGAUGCCAUGUUAGGUAUCUUGGGACUCUCCCAGCAAGAGAGCCAUAACCAGAGUUGAGCCUGCAAAACUAAAUAUGUGACACUUACAAUUUGAAAGAAGAGAGAUCUAUUUUGGAUCCUGUUUUUAGGCUAUAGACUGCUAGCUCCAAGGCACAAUGGCAUGGUGGAAGGGCACAGUGAAGGAAAAGCUACUCACACCAUGAUGAUCAAGAAAUAGCACCAAAGGGGCUGGAGAAGAAUAUACACUCUUCCAGGUCACACCCAGGGACGUGCCUUCCCCAAGCAGGCCCUGCCUCCUAACAGCAGGUUAGCCAAAACCCCUCGAAGACAGGCACACACAAAGACUUCAGAGGAAACACCAAUCACACAAGAAAUAAAACCAAGAAUCAACAAAUGGGGUCAUACCAAAUUAAAAAGCUUCUGUAUAGCAAGGAAAACAACAGAGUGAAGAGACAACCUGCAGAAUGGAAAAUUUUUUCACAGCUAUUCCUUGGACAACAGAUUAAUACAUAGAAUAUAUAAAGAACUCAGAAUUAGACCUCCCAAAAUAGACUCAGUCAAAAAUGGGCAACUGAAAUGAGUAGGUACUUCUCAGAAGAAUAAAAUACAUAAAA